GGAAGUAAAAGUCGUAACAAGGUUUCCGUAGGGAACCUGCGGAAGGAUCAUUACCGAAUUGUCGACACGAGUUGUUGCUGGUCCUCAAACGGGGGCAUGUGCACGCUCUGUUUACACAUCCACUCACACCUGUGCACCUUCUGUAGUUCUGUGGCAUGGGGGGCUCUGUCCUCCUGCCGUGGUCCUACGUCUUUACACACACCCUGUAACAAAGUCUCAUGGAAUGCAUGACGCGUUUAACGCAAUACAAUACAACUUUCAGCAACGGAUCUCUUGGCUCUCGCAUCGAUGAAGAACGCAGCGAAAUGCGAUAAGUAAUGUGAAUUGCAGAAUUCAGUGAAUCAUCGAAUCUUUGAACGCACCUUGCGCCCUUUGGCUAUUCCGAAGGGCAUGCCUGUUUGAGUAUCAUGAACACCUCAACUCUCAUGGUUUGCCAUGAUGAGUUUGGACUUUGGGGGUCUUGCUGGCCUAUGGUCGGCUCCUCUCAAAUAGAUCAGCUUGCCAGUGUUUGGUGGCAUCACAGGUGUGAUAACUAUCUACGCUUGUGGUUUUCUACCGAGUAACCUUCAGUGAUGGAGGUUCGCUGGAGCUCAUAAAUGUCUCUCCUCAAGUGAAGACAGCUUUUUGAACGUUUGAUCUCAAAUCAGGUAGGACUACCCGCUGAACUUAAGCAUAUC
rnacentral:rRNA from 1 species